GAUGAACGCUGGCGGCGUGCCUAAUACAUGCAAGUCGAGCGAACAGACGCGGAGCUUGCUCCUCUGACGUUAGCGGCGGACGGGUGAGUAACACGUGGAUAACCUCCCUAUAAGACUGGGAUAACUUCGGGAAACCGGAGCUAAUACCGGAUAAUCUAUUGAACCGUAUGGUUCAAUAGUGAAAGACGGUUUUGCUGUCACUUAUAGAUGGAUCCGCGCCGCAUUAGCUAGUUGGUAAGGUAACGGCUUAUCAAGGCAACGAUGCGUAUCCGACCUGAGAGGGUGAGCAGCCACCCUGGAACUGAGACACGGUCCAGACUCCUACGGAAGGCAGCAGUAGGGAAUCUUCCGCAAUGGGCGGAAGCCUGACGGAGCAACGCCGCGUGAGUGAUGAAGGUCUUCGGAUCGUAAAACUCUGUUAUUAGGGAAGAACAAAUGUGUAAGUAACUAUGCACGUCUGGACGGUACCUAAUCAGAAAGCCACGGCUAACUACGUG
rnacentral:rRNA from 1 species